rnacentral:tRNA from 1 species
CCCUGGUUAGCUCAGAAGGUAGAGCGCUCCACCUGUAAUGGAGAGGUCCCGGGUUCAAUACCCGGACCAGGCG